CAAGCACUUUAGCAGGUCAUGAUCUCAGUGCAGUAGGCCAUGAUUUGGUAGCUGGUGCUGAUAUUAAACUUCUCUUUUAAAGAAAAUCCACUGGCUCUUCGUGUGCCUGUUUGGAUUAUCAGAGAGAAAAACACUU